UGAUGGGCUCGUUGUGCGGCCGUGAGUUGUGCUCCACCAUCCUCUGGUACAGAGUCACCAGGUUACUCCAGCGACCCUGAACUUGAUCAGCAGUAUAACUGUACCAAGGAAAAUACACUAAAUACUAGCAAAUGUAUUAGAUUUACUGAGGACGUCACAUCAAGUGUCCACAAUCAGUACAUUAAUGGAGUGAGCCAGACUUGAUGGAUGUGACUUACCGAGACGCUGGCUGUAGGGAGCAUCAUGACGCACCCGCCGACCAAACGUGUUGUCCUUCAUGAGGCGGUUAAGUGUGCUCCAGAAGAGGAUCCACUUGGGUUUCCUUGAUGGUUGAAAGCCCAACUUCUCCCUCACUCAUUUCUGAGGUGUGCACCAGCUGGACCUUGGGGGGUGGGUGUUCCUGAAGUGCUGUCCGCUUCAUCCUUUCUCCAAGGAUACUGGCUACGGCUUCUUCCAUGGCUGCCUCAGAUUCUCCAGCCUCCCAUGUUCCUGCUGCAAGGAUAAAACUGAGUAAUGAAAUGACAGUUUCUGAGCUACACACUUUCUGAGAAGCUUCUAUUUCAUGAACAAAUAAGACUCCAGAUAUCACCUAUGUGUAUUUCUGUUGACUGCGGCACAUCCAGAGUGGAAGUAGUGGGCUG